rnacentral:lncRNA from 10 species
AUGUGCCUCAUCUCCCCAGGUGUGUCUCCAGCUGCAGCCGCCAAAGCAGCUAAAUACGGAGUGGCAGCGAGACCCGGCUUCGGAUUGUCUCCCAUUUUCCCAGGUACGCCAGGCUCCCUGCCCCUGGGCCCUGCCCUAGAGCUCCAGCCACCUCCUCCCUCCUCUCCUGUGUCAUCUCCUGCUCAGAAGGGCUGAGCCAGCACCCACGGGUGGACCCCACAGCCUCAGGUCACAUGAGGCCGAACCCCGAGCUGAACAUAGAGCCUCCCCUCCUUCUUGCUGACCUCUUACAAAAACAGGGAACAUUCGGUUUUUAAAAACAGUUCAUGGCCAGGUGUGGUGGCUCACGCCUGUAAUCCCAGCACUUUGGGAGGCCAAGGCAGGCAGAUCACGUGAUGUCAGGAGUUUGAGACCAGCCCGGCCAACAUGACGAAACCCCGUCUCUAUUAAAAAUACAAAAAUUGGCCACGUGUGGUGGUGCAC